rnacentral:rRNA from 1 species
GAUGAACGCUGGCGGCGUGCCUAAUACAUGCAAGUCGAGCGAACGGACGAGAAGCUUGCUUCUCUGAUGUUAGCGGCGGACGGGUGAGUAACACGUGGAUAACCUACCUAUAAGACUGGGAUAACUUCGGGAAACCGGAGCUAAUACCGGAUAAUAUUUUGAACCGCAUGGUUCAAAAGUGAAAGACGGUCUUGCUGUCACUUAUAGAUGGAUCCGCGCUGCAUUAGCUAGUUGGUAAGGUGACGGCUUACCAAGGCAACAAUGCAUAGCCGACCUGAGAGGGUGAUCGGCCACACUGGAACUGAGACACGGUCCAGACUCCUACGGGAGGCAGCAGUAGGGAAUCUUCCGCAAUGGGCGAAAGCCUGACGGAGCAACGCCGCGUGAGUGAUGAAGGUCUGCGGAUCGUAAAACUCUGUUAUUAGGGAAGAACAUAUGUGUAAGUAACUGUGCACAUCUUGACGGUACCUAAUCAGAAAGCCACGGCUAACUACGU